rnacentral:rRNA from 1 species
AGUGAACGCUGGCGGUAGGCCUAACACAUGCGAGUCGAACGGCAGCACAGUAAGAGCUUGCUCUUACGGGUGGCGAGUGGCGGACGGGUGAGGAAUACAUCGGAAUCUACUUUUUCGUGGGAGAUAACGUAGGGAAACUUACGCUAAUACCGCAUACGACCUACGGGUGAAAGCAGGGGAUCUUCGGACCUUGCGCGAUUGAAUGAGCCGAUGUCGGAUUAGCUAGUUGGCGGGGUAAAGGCCCACCAAGGCGACGAUCCGUAGCUGGUCUGAGAGGAUGAUCAGCCACACUGGAACUGAGACACGGUCCAGACUCCUACGGGAGGCAGCAGUGGGGAAUAUUGGACAAUGGGCGCAAGCCUGAUCCAGCCAUACCGCGUGGGUGAAGAAGGCCUUCGGGUUGUAAAGCCCUUUUGUUGGGAAAGAAAAGCAGCAGGUUAAUACCCCGCUGUUCUGACGGUACCCAAAGAAUAAGCACCGGCUAACUUCGUG